UGGAUAUUCUUAAAAUAAUAGACAUUUUUAUAGAAAUUCGGUUCUGUGAUUUGUUGACAGUUAUAACUAACAUACUGGAAUUCAUUGAUCUUAUUAAAGGAGAGACCACUAUGACAUUCCUGAUGAGACAAGUGGAGUUUUAUGAUUAGUAUAAAUUAAGACUGAGUAUAAGGGUACUUUUCUUAGUAAGCUAUAGAACAUGUCUUCUGAGUAUUAAAUCUCAUUACUUUAUCAUUAAAGUCCUUGAUCAGAGUGGGAGUAGCGACGGGGUUGUGAAAAGGAGAGUGGCAUGGUGUUUGUUGUUGCAUUUCUCCCACCUGGGUCCAUUGGUUCAGGGAAGUGAUAGGACUGAAACUUGUAAAACAAAACAGACUAUGAUUGAAGCAAAAAGGAAUGGAGAUAAAAGUUACUAAAGGAAAGAUCCAAGUUUUGGAGAGGCAGAUGAACUCUCUUGUUACUUUUCGUUUUUGCCAAAGAAUGGGAGCAAGCAUGAGUUGAGAGGAGCUGUGGACUAAAGGAUAGGUUCUUUGUGUUGCUGCGGGACACAUUUGGGAUUUACAGAUAAGCCGAUGUUCGAGGCACCAUGUAGAAAAAGUACAUCAAUUAGUUAUGUUUUCUCUGAAAUUUAUUGACACUGAAAGAAGCAGGGACCUAUGAUACAUACAGUACAGGAAGAGGAGUGACUGCCUGUCAGUAAGAACAGUGCCCAGUUUUCCUUGAUUAAAAUUUGAGUAUACCAGAAUGUAAAACUAUUGGAAUCAUUUUAUGAGCCUCAGUGGGAAAUGAAAUUCCAAAAGCUUAUUGAUUUCAAAGUAGUUUCACUGGAUGCAAACCAUAACCUUAAACCAAGGUAAAACUCAAAACAAUUCUUUUCUUCUUUAUUCUAAAUAUUUAAGUGUAAAUUACAAGUUAUUACUUUGAAGAAUGGCUCUAAAAGCUACAAACUUCAGAGUCAGACCAUUUAAUUCUGUUACAUUUGUCUAGAUAUUAAACGUAAUUGGACUUCACAUGAAAAAUUACAGAAGAUAAGCGAUCUCAGGAAAUGUGUUUACUACUGACAAUUUAAGCUCUAAGCGAAAGACAUGAGGCCUAAGACUGAGAUGAGGUUGUUUUGAGGCCAUCUGAUUUCUGACUAGAAGGUGUGCGAUCGCCUCGUCCUGAAACCACUUCAAACAGAAUGAUGUAAAGUUCUAUGAAGAAUGUUAGUAGUGUCCGUUAACUCUGCUUUAAUUAUCGCAGGUUUGCAAUUUUUUUUGGUGAUGGCAUGUUCAGAAUCUUGGAUCCCUAAGUUGAAUAUGUUGGAAAUAUUUAGGAACUCUGGAAAUUAUUGUUUUGUGUAUAUUACGACUUACUAGGUGAAUCAGUAGAUUUAAUAAAAAAGAAUAUAAAAAAGAAUAGGUAUUAUAAUUUUGUGUUUCUAAGUUGACAUGCAUGUCCAGAUUCUCAUCUUCUAGUAUUAGUGUCAUUCCCUGGAGACAGUUACAUUUUGAAUAUUUGGGGGUUUUUAUGGACCCCAUGUUUUCCCAGGCAGUUUAGGUAAUCCUCCCAUGCUGAUUUGGUCAGCUCCUUUUCCUUUCUAUCUACCUUGCCAUGUAGCUUACUUAGAUCAGAGGUAAUUAUUGAUCAGGAAGAGAUCAAGUGACAGUCCUAGAGGUAGUAAUUACAGAAUUUCAGCCUGGAAAUGACCUCGGAAUAGUCUGUUAUACCCAAAUACAAUUGUAACCAGAUGCUGCUGAUUUCCGAAUUGGAUAUUAUUAUGUAGGACAGAAGUGCUAAUGGAGAGGAGAAAGGCUUUUCCGGUUCACCUCCUCCUUCUCUUGCUGUUGUUGGGUGCAUGAAUUAGUGGAAAGUAAGAUGGCUAAGAGAUAGACAGUAUAAAUGGAAAGGAGAAAAAACAAAACUUGAAUCUCUAAGAAGGAAUACUUCCCCUUAAAAAUUUGAAAGCUCUAUUCCAAGUACCUGAACACACUGUUUUAAAACCAUAGGCUCACUUUCAUGUAGACCCAGAAUGUGAACUAGCGUAUGCUUGCCCAGAGGAUAGCUGGAGAACUUGUUAUUUGACAGGAGAGUCAGUCCUUGGGUGAGUCUGUGGUUGACUGCUCAGAUGAAGAGAUCUGAAGAAUAUCAUGGGGCAGUUAUUUUCAUAGGCAAAUAGAACAGCCUCCCUAUGCCUUUGACCAAAACGAGGGAAGGCUUGCUUUUUAAAAAUGUGUUUAAAACAGCUUGAAAAAGGAUCAUAGGGAAAGGCUGAAGAAAAUUCACGAAGCUAUAGAGACUGAGUGGUAACAAGUUUUAUCAUUGGUAGAUUAUCCAAAAAUGUGGAAGUUUGUGUAUGAUCACAGUUUUCAUAAUGUUUCUAUUAGAAGGCUUCUAGAAGCUAAAUAAGAUACACUGUAGCACCCUCCACCCCUUUGCUUUUCUUUAAGAGGAUUUGACUGAUAUAUAUAUAUAUAAUAGAUGGCACAAUGAAAACAUUAGAUUUUUAAAAAUCAAGUUACAUUUUAAUUUAAAUGUGUGUUGCCUAUUUGCUACUUUCCCAUUACAACUAGCUUUUAAAAUACUCUCCUUCUGUGAUACUUUUGUCAAUAGAGGUGUUUCCUCUUAGCCAAUUCCAGCCACAGUAUUGACUAGGCCCCGGCAUUUGAUAUACCCAGAAGGAAUUAGACAGGCAGGAAAAAACUUGGUCUCUACUGGAAUGAAUAUUUUAAAAACCUUUUUAGAUUCUGAGCACUUCGAGUACAAAGGAAAGAGACCCAAGAAAGGGAAAAAUGUAAGAGCUCAAGAAUAAAAAAACGGUGGUGGGAGUCGGGAAUAAACUCUCACACAGCUGACCUAAGUGUAUUGAGGGAAGGAAGUGAAGUUCCUGGAGAUGAGGAGACAGUAUAUGAAAUCCUGGGAGAGCAGGCAUUCUGAUAUUCAGUUGAGCAGUUCACACUAGCAAGUGGUAGUAUUUUAAGGCUAGUGACAGGUUAUCUGGGGAAAUACUAAUGUACUUCCUAACAAUGAGUUUGAUUUUUAUUUUAGUGGGUUAUAAAUGGGUAUGCAGUUCAAAGAUGAACAUAAUUCAAGAUAAGUAUCUUCAGUCUUAGAGAAAAUAUAAUAAAAAAUGGAUCUUUUGUCCUAUUGUAUAACUUUAGAAAGUAAUGUAGAAUACGGAGCAUAAUAGAGAAUUGAUGGCCUGAAUAUAAUCAGUAUUUGAUGGUUGCUUUCUAGAAACUUCUAGGUAAAACCUGUUGUCCUUAGCUGUACUGUAACAGAAUUUUAGUGGGAAAAUGUUUACCUUUUUGGGUCACUGUGCGCCACAGUCUGGCACAUCAUUGUGAAAGUUUAGAAAUCUAACUCUGUUUACCCCUGGGGAGGAACACAGAUCUUCGUAAAUUUGGGUACAGAAAGUACGUAGGGAACCACAGAGAAAGUUACCCUAGAACCUAGUGGUUCUUUGUAUUUUGGUACUUUUUAACCCUUUUGAAAAUCCGAAGGUAACUAUGGAUGCUUGCACCAACAAGACUGCAAUUUCUGAGGGUAGAGGGACUGCUCUUGAUUGUCAGGUCAGGAAGAGGUCAGGAAGCCCUGAUCUAAAAGAUCAUCUUCAUUUUUCUUCUGACCUUGCUCUCACUUUAUUGUCACUCUCAGUCAGGGGUUCUCUGUCACCUUUGAAGGGAGCAUUUGACGCUUGAAGGACACUCACUGCCUUACACAUUGAACCGAAGUCACAAGUCCAGAGCUUUGUAAUAUAAUGGAGUCAACAUGGUCCACAAAGAGCUGCCCCACAAGUACAAUGGUAAAAAUAGAGCCUGAGGCACGAAGGUGUGGCAUAGCUUCCGAGCUAGUACCUGCUUCCUUCUGGUAUAGGGGCAUUUAUUCCAUAGGAAGUUGAAUAUUAAUGUUUUGUCUUUAAAAUGAGCAUAUUUCUUUUAAGAUCUCUAAUUAUUUUAAAGGUUUUCUACCCAAGUGUGACUUUCUCCCCAUGUAUUAGGAUGUCACGUUAAUGGUGUAAAAUGUGUACUUCAAAUUAACAUAAUAACUGGGUGGGAUUCUGUUACUUUUGUGACUCUGAAAUUUAUAACACAUUUUCAGGAAAAGUGUUGAGAUUCCCAGAUAAUUCAUUCUUAACUUCUUUCAAGUUCCUGAAUGUAUGAUUGUUUCUGAACCUUAUUAAGCCAUUUAUAAGAUUAGACAAAACUGUCUUCCAUUCAUAUUUUGACACAGAAUGGAUAUAUUUAAUUUAUCUUAUUAGAAAUGUGUUUUAACAGAAAAUUCUAUUUGAGUGGCUCUAAUCUUCAUUUUGGAAUCUCAGAUCCCCUGCUUGUUAUGUUGUUCAUUGGGACUCUUCCUGCAAAAUACAGCUUCGCUGAGAAGAUCAUCCUUGAAAAAUCAAGAAAUCUGAAGAAACUAAUUUGGGGACUGAGUAAAGAGAUGGAAGAGCAUCAUCAGAUUGACAACCCAGCACACUCUGGAAACAUCUUAGACUGUGUUGCUUUUGUACAUGAAACAAUUUGACUGUGUUACAAACUGGACCUAUAUAUAGAGAAAACCACCUCAUAAAAUGUAUCUUUAAUAUAAGAAAACACACCCUGGCCUCUAAGAACAUUUCUGUCAGAACAGUCUGCUCUUGACUACUCACACUGUUGGAGGGAACCUGGGUCAUUGCACUUGACUGAAAGUUAAACAUCAUGUAUUUUGGACUUCAAGGUGUUUAUAAAUUUCCUCUUGGAAUACAGUGUUUGGGGCUUUUACAACAUCUGUCUCCCAUGUGCCCUUCAUAUCCCCUGAGAAAGGAGCCUUAGCUAUCUGUGCCCUGAUACUUGUUCUCUGUCCAUCUUUUUGGGCACCGUUGGCUUAAAUGUGAGGAAAACAUGGAGCAUACAGGAUUCCAACAUCCUGUUAAAUCAGUUCCACUUAUCCCUUCCAGGUAAUUGUGUUACAUUUCCUUUUCAGCUCUUCUAAAUAUGGCCCAGUUUUUGCCCCUUGGUUAGGUCAAGGUAGCAUUGAAACCACACCAUUUCAGUCUUCUUCCUUCCCAUUGUCCUUUUUCAUUCUGGCUAUGAUGGGAGGUUGGCAGUUGCCUUACUGUAAGAGUCCACAUGUGUCCUUUCAUUUCCAUCUCCCUGCCUGCAUGUACUGAUGUAGAAAUAAAACAGAUCUAGACUUGGGGAUCUGGGCUGUGUAAGGUCUGCCUAUAUAGAUUCACAGCACUGUAUUUAAAAUACAGUCUUUUAGCUGCGAUGUUAGUGGUAGUCUCCUUUGUAUCUCUGCCCUGUGCUGGGCCCUCUGCUGGGUAGGGCAGUCCCCUCUUUCUCUGCACCACCUGAUUCUCUUGAGGCCAGGAAUAGACUUCAUGGUGCCUUAGGCACAGGGAGAACCACAACUGACCUCUCUGUAAGCUUGCUGGUUGCUGGGGUCAUAAUAAUGGGGUAGUUAAAGAGAUCCUUGUGCCUUCCACUGGACUCUAGUCAAAGCAGAUCAUGUGCAGAGAAAGUUAUCAUGUCCAUUGGAUGUUGAAAACAAGAUUUGUCAAAAAAUAGGCCGAAUUUCAGGUUAACCAUGAACCCACAUUGACUAUCCUGGUUUCUCUUACUUAAAAAAAAAAAAAAAGUACCCCUUAAAAGCAUUAUCAUAUUACUGUGAUGUACAAAAUGUGAUAUUACUCAAAAAAACUUUACAAGUAAAAUUUUUACAAGUAGUUUUCAGAAACGUGCAAAUAUGUUUUCUGUAAAAGGGUAUAUACUGUGUGUAAUAAUUUUCUGAUUCUUGCUCUAAUAAAUAUUAAACUUAAGUGGUCUCAGUAUUUAAAACCUAAUAGUUUGAAAGUAUUUUUUGAGUAAAAUUUUUAAGUAUAUAAUAUUUUUACUUUUCAUGUAAUGUGCAAGUAUUCUUAGAAUACUUGUUUGUUUUCCACAUGUAAAACUACUGUGAACGGGAUCUGUGUCUCAGUAAGUUUCUGAAGCUUUGGCUGUAAUUACCACGUGCUUGGGAUUGGGCUGGCUGGAAAUGCAUAUUGAGCUUUUCUGUGUAUGUAGCAAACUUUGUCCAAAUAAAGUAGCUUUGUACCCUGAA